rnacentral:rRNA from 1 species
UGCGUAGGGGGCAAGCGUUGUCCGGAUUUAUUGGGCGUAAAGAGCGUGUAGGCGGCCAUACAGGUCAGCUGUGAAAACUCGAGGCUCAACCUCGAGACGUCGGUUGAAACCGUAUGGCUAGAGUCCGGAAGAGGAGAGUGGAAUUCCCGGUGUAGCGGUGAAAUGCGCAGAUAUCGGGAAGAACACCCGUGGCGAAGGCGGCUCUCUGGGACGGUACUGACGCUGAGACGCGAAAGCGUGGGGAGCGAACAGG